AGCUUUACGUAAACACCUAUUAAGCGGUCUAUUUCACGUUUUUUAACCACAUCCGCUUUGUGCAAGCUUUCUUGCGUGUUGCCGCUGGUCUAUGAACAAACACUCAAGAGUACUCAAGCCACGCAGAUGGUAUAGUCUUGUUAGAUUCCUCAACAGCACCGAGAGAUGUAAUCGAUACGCCCAAAAGUGAUUUCAUCACAUAAGCUAAAGACUUACUUCUUCUUAAGUCUGGAAUGAACCAAGCCUUGACAUACCUGGACAAAGAAGGAUCCGAAUAAGAUACUGAACAUCACCUUUCAGGGGGAAUGAAUUGAUGUUAGGAAGGCCGUUAAACAAGGUUAUUGCCACUUCAAUUUAACAUUGUUCUCAACUCUAUUAUGUUAAAUGCUACAAACUUCAAUAAAGGCAUAAGGGUGGGCUUUAAAGGUUGCUGGGGAACCUCGAUAGCGAUAUCUGUAUCCAUUCACACAGACACUGUGAUAUGUAUACAGAGGGAAAAGGAUAAAAAACGUGAAAUACAUACCCAUUGAAUCUUGUCGCACACCAACUGAGCCCAUAUUAGCACUGUGACUCAUGGAAAACGGUUGAGUCAUGCCGGGAUAUGAUGAGGCGCCCAUUUGAAAGAGAUCCUUUUAAAACAAA